UCCACAUACCACUAGAAGGGAGCUCGAGUAACAUUACCACACUUUGAGAACCACUGGUAUUAGUUAGGCCUUGUCUGUGUUAGGUUUUUCUUUUUCAGCUAAUGGAGAGCAGGCAGAAGAGGGAGACUCACAAGAGCAUCGGUGGACAAAAAUGCUGGAGAACAGCAGGUUUUGUUCCGUUGGUGUUGUUUUUGUCUUUUGCAGGUUGGAGUGGAGCAGAAGAAGGGGACUUACAGGGGGAACAGUAGAGAUAUACUAUAAGACCUUGAGCUCAGGAAGCAGACUGGCAUUGAGCAUGUGGAGAAACAGGGAAACACACCUCAGUAAUGACAAGUUCAUCAUAAUAAUUUAGAGUGUGACAGAAGGGACGGCAUUCAGGUGAACAAUAUAAACAAUGUUUAUGUACAGGAUGGCAGGUGAGUAUGAGCAGGUGAGUAUAUUGAUGCAGAUGAUAAUAGUCCAUGAAAAUAAACUGGAUAUUUGACUGUGUAGGCUUGGAGACUGGAGACGAUACCACAGAUACCAAAGGCCAGAUGAGCAACCAAGAGACACCACACUAGGAGAGACAAUGGAGAUCACAGGAGACGCAAAUAACCGAUAUCUACGAAUCAACACUGAUGAUCGGCUGGACCACAUGGAGAAAAAAAGGAAUCACACACCUCAGCAACCACUGAGAAAAACCACCAAAAAUCAGAUGGACGGGUGGAUAAAUGGAUGGAUGUGCUUCCAAGAUGAAGGAGUAGUGGUUGAUAUAGAUAGCUAAUUAGGCCUUGUCUGUAUCAGGUUUUCCUUUUUCAUGUAAUGGGAGAAAGUGCAGGCAGAAGAGGAAGACUCACAAGGACCAUCUGUGGACAACUAUUAAAGUUUUUUUUAGUGCUGUCACACUAUCACAGGAGACAUUGGCUUAACCACAUGGAGAAAAAAAGCAAUCACACACCUCAGCAAUGACUGCAUUGUAGGAAUUUAUUUUUUUUUAAAUUAGUGGGACGGGUGCAUCAAUGGACGUCCUUCCAAGAUGAAGGAGUGGUGGUUGGUAUAGAUAGUUAAUUAGGCCUUGUCUGUGUCAGUUUUUUUCUUUUUCAGGUAAUGGAGAGAGAGCAGGCAGAAGAUGGAGACUCACAAGAGCAUCAGUGGACAUUGAUUUAAAAAAUGCUGGAGGACAGCAGGUAGGGCUCUGUCAGUGCUGUCUAUACAGGAGGUGUGUCCCAAAUUGCAUUCUUAUGCACUAUUUUACACCAUUUUGUA